AGUGAACGCUGGCGGUAGGCCUAACACAUGCAAGUCGAACGGCAGCACAGUAAGAGCUUGCUCUUACGGGUGGCGAGUGGCGGACGGGUGAGGAAUACAUUGGAAUCUACUUUUUCGUGGGGGAUAACGUAGGGAAACUUACGCUAAUACCGCAUACGACCUACGGGUGAAAGCAGGGGAUCUUCGGACCUUGCGCGAUUGAAUGAGCCGAUGUCGGAUUAGCUAGUUGGCGGGGUAAAGGCCCACCAAGGCGACGAUCCGUAGCUGGUCUGAGAGGAUGAUCAGCCACACUGGAACUGAGACACGGUCCAGACUCCUACGGGAGGCAGCAGUGGGGAAUAUUGGACAAUGGGCGCAAGCCUGAUCCAGCCAUACCGCGUGGGUGAAGAAGGCCUUCGGGUUGUAAAGCCCUUUUGUUGGGAAAGAAGAGCAGCAGGUUAAUACCCCGCUGUUCUGACGGUACCCAAAGAAUAAGCACCGGCUAACUUCGUG
rnacentral:rRNA from 1 species